AACGAACGCUGGCGGCAUGCCUAACACAUGCAAGUCGAACGAGACCUUCGGGUCUAGUGGCGCACGGGUGCGUAACGCGUGGGAACCUGCCCUUAGGUUCGGAAUAACUCCCCGAAAGGGGUGCUAAUACCGGAUAAUGUCUUCGGACCAAAGAUUUAUCGCCUUUGGAUGGGCCCGCGUUGGAUUAGCUAGUUGGUAGGGUAAAAGCCUACCAAGGCGACGAUCCAUAGCUGGUCUGAGAGGAUGAUCAGCCACACUGGGACUGAGACACGGCCCAGACUCCUGAGGGGGGGAGCAGGGGGGAAUAAUGGACAAUGGGCGAAAGCCGAAUCCAGCAGUGCCGGGGAGGUGAUGAAGGCCUUAGGGUUGUAAAUCUCUUUUACCCGGGAUGAUAAUAACGGUACCGGGGAAAAAGGCCCCGCCAAACUCCGG
rnacentral:rRNA from 1 species